rnacentral:rRNA from 1 species
GUCCACGCCCUAACGAUGCUUACUCGACGUUCGGCCCUCAUGGGCGGUGCGUCCAAGCGAAAGCGCUAAGUAAGCCACCUGGGGAGUACGCCGGCAACGGUGAACUCAAAGGAAUUGACGGGGUCCGCACAAGCGGUGGAGCAUGUGGUUUAAUUCGAUGAUACGCGAGGAACCUUACCUGGGCUCGAAUGGGCCGCGGACAGGCCCCUGAAAGGGGUUUUCCCGCAAGGGACUGCGGUCAAGGUGCUGCAUGGCUGUCGU